rnacentral:rRNA from 1 species
AUGAACGCUGGCGGCGUGCCUAAUACAUGCAAGUCGAGCGAACAGACGAGGAGCUUGCUCCUCUGACGUUAGCGGCGGACGGGUGAGUAACACGUGGAUAACCUACCUAUAAGACUGGGAUAACUUCGGGAAACCGGAGCUAAUACCGGAUAAUAUAUUGAACCGCAUGGUUCAAUAGUGAAAGACGGUUUUGCUGUCACUUAUAGAUGGAUCCGCGCCGCAUUAGCUAGUUGGUGAGGUAACGGCUUACCAAGGCAACGAUGCGUAGCCGACCUGAGAGGGUGAUCGGCCACACUGGAACUGAGACACGGUCCAGACUCCUACGGGAGGCAGCAGUAGGGAAUCUUCCGCAAUGGGCGAAAGCCUGACGGAGCAACGCCGCGUGAGUGAUGAAGGUCUUCGGAUCGUAAAACUCUGUUAUUAGGGAAGAACAAAUGUGUAAGUAACUAUGCACGUCUUGACGGUACCUAAUCAGAAAGCCACGGCUAACUACGUG